rnacentral:rRNA from 1 species
GAUGAACGCUGGCGGCGUGCCUAAUACAUGCAAGUCGAGCGAACAGAUGAGGAGCUUGCUCCUCUGACGUUAGCGGCGGACGGGUGAGUAACACGUGGAUAACCUACCUAUAAGACUGGGAUAACUUCGGGAAACCGGAGCUAAUACCGGAUAAUAUAUUGAACCGCAUGGUUCAAUAGUGAAAGACGGUUUUGCUGUCACUUAUAGGUGGAUCCGCGCCGCAUUAGCUAGUUGGUAAGGUAACGGCUUACCAAGGCAACGAUGCGUAGCCGACCUGAGAGGGUGAUCGGCCACACUGGAACUGAGACACGGUCCAGACUCCUACGGGAGGCAGCAGUAGGGAAUCUUCCGCAAAGGGCGAAAGCCUGACGGAGCAACGCCGCGUGAGUGAUGAAGGUCUUCGGAUCGUAAAACUCUGUUAUUAGGGAAGAACAAAUGUGUAAGUAACUAUGCACGUCUUGACGGUACCUAAUCAGAAAGCCACGGCUAACUACGUG